UUUAAUUUAUUUUAAACUUUUUGUAGCGUUGAAAAGUGGUAAAAAAAGCAUCAUGGAUAGUAAAAUAACUUGUUCCUAAAAUAAAAUGAAUUGACAAAACGCUAUUGACUAACCACUAGAAAAAAUAUUUUAUUGACUUAACCAAAUGGUUAACAGAUUAUUAGAUGACUGUUUUUGUUUUUAUGUAUUCCUCAAGACAGUUAUUACAAUGAAAUCUCGCUUUACAAGUUUCUAUAAUCGGAUGUCGUGGCCUUCAAGAAAUUGGAGCGUUCACUUUUAAUUGCAUAUUUCCUCACUGUAACUUUUUAUAUUCAGAGGUUGAUAUAUUCUAAAUGUGUCUGCUGAAGUUAUAGCCAAUUUAUACACUUAACUGCUUCUUUAGAACACUCUGACCAAGUUUCCAGGGUAUUAUCUUCCAAUUCAGGAUCCCUCAUGUAACCGCUUCCGCAUUUUAAAAUCUCAUAGACACAUUACGUGAAUAAGUGAAGUUUCAAAGCAAGUUAAAACGAUAUUAAAUGGUGGUGGCAAUACUAUUGAAUUGAAUAUAUACUGGUGACAGUAAAUCAAAAUGUUAUUGGAUACGUUUAGAGAAUGCUUAAGCUAACUGGAUUAUCGUUUUCUGAUCCUCGUUACGAAGGACAAUAUUUUUCAAUAUCGCAACCAGUUACGGAUGAGUUGAAAGCAUACAGUUAUUUUUUACUCAACGAUCAAGAAACAUAUCAAGUCAACAAGAGUGAGCCCUCCCUUCAAAAAUGACAGUCUAAAAAUUUCAAUAUAAACAUUCAAUUAGUUUAUCGUCCAAGAGUUCAAGAAGGCAAGAUUGGUAAAACAAAAUGUAUCAUUCGUAUUGUAUAUUUACUCACAAGCUAUCAUCAACUAUGAAUUAAUUUUUUCUCUUGUUUAAUAAGAAUUUACUUAAUUAUAGAACUAUAUGUAUUACAUUAUUAACAAACAUAUAUUAAGAAACGAG